rnacentral:rRNA from 1 species
UCGAGGAUCUUCGGCAAUGGGCGCAAGCCUGACCGAGCGACGCCGCGUGUGCGAUGAAGGCCUUCGGGUUGUAAAGCACUGUCGAGGGGGAGAAAAGCCCGCAAGGGCCUGAUCGACCCCUGGAGGAAGCACGGGCUAAGUUCGUGCCAGCAGCCGCGGUAAGACGAACCGUGCGAACGUUGUUCGGAAUCACUGGGCUUAAAGGGCGCGUAGGCGGGCAGGCAAGUCAGGGGUGAAAGCCCACGGCUCAACCGUGGAAGUGCCUUUGAUACUGCCUGUCUCGAGGGAGGUAGGGGCGUGCGGAACUUCCGGUGGAGCGGUGAAAUGCGUAGAUAUCGGAAGGAACACCGGUGGCGAAAGCGGCGCGCUGGACCUCUUCUGACGCUGAGGCGCGAAAGCCAGGGGAGCAAACGGGAUUAGAUACCCCCGUAGUCC